rnacentral:tRNA from 1 species
GCAGUGGUGGUUCAGUGGUAGAAUUCUUGCCUUCCAUGUGAGAGACCUGGGUUCGAUUCCUUGCUAACCCA